rnacentral:rRNA from 1 species
UAACUUAGUGGCGGACGGGUGAGUAACGCGUGGGUAACCUGCCUUACACAGGGGGAUAACACUUAGAAAUAGGUGCUAAUACCGCAUAAGCGCACAGUCCCGAUGGGACAGAGUGAAAAACAUUAGUGGUGUAAGAUGGACCCGCGUCUGAUUAGCUUGUUGGCGGGGUAACGGCCCACCAAGGCGACGAUCAGUAGCCGGCCUGAGAGGGUGGACGGCCACAUUGGGACUGAGACACGGCCCAAACUCCUACGGGAGGCAGCAG